GACGAGGGAUCCUAGCGUUGUUCGGAAUCAUUGGGCGUAAAGCGGGUGUAGGCGGGCUUAUAAGUCAGGUGUGAAAUCCCAGGGCUCAACCCUGGAAGUGCAUUUGAUACUGUAAGUCUUGAGUGUGGUAGAGGUUACUGGAAUUCCUGGUGUAGUGGUGAAAUACGUAGAUAUCAGGAGGAAUACCGGAGGCGAAGGCGAGUAACUGGGCUAACACUGACGCUGAGAUCCGAAAGCGUGGGGAUCAAACAGG
rnacentral:rRNA from 1 species